AUGAACGCUGGCGGCAUGCCUAAGACAUGCAAGUCGAACGAGAAGACCUUUGGAAGACUGAGUACUUGUACGAAGUUAGAAGAAGAUCAUCUUCUAGUGGCAGACGGGUGAGUAACACGUGGGUAACCUACCUUUAAGCUGGGGAUAACAGUUGGAAACGACUGAUAAUACCGAAUAAGAUAUUCGUAUUGAAAGAAGCCCUUAAAGCUUCACUUAAAGAUGGGCCUGCGGCGUAUUAACUAGUUGGUGAGAUAACGGCCCACCAAGGUAACGAUGCGUAGCCGAACUGAGAGGUUGAUCGGCCACACUGGGACUGAGACACGGCCCAGACUCCUACGGGAGGCAGCAGUGGGGAAUCUUCCGCAAUGGGCGAAAGCCUGACGGAGCAACGCCGCGUGAGUGAAGAAGGCCUUCGGGUCGUAAAGCUCUGUGAUCGGGGACGAACGGUCAGCAGACGAAUACUCUGCUGAAUUGACGGUACCCGAAUAGCAAGCCACGGCUAACUACGUG
rnacentral:rRNA from 1 species